rnacentral:rRNA from 1 species
AACGAACGCUGGCGGCAUGCCUAACACAUGCAAGUCGAACGAGACCUUCGGGUCUAGUGGCGCACGGGUGCGUAACGCGUGGGAACCUGCCCUUAGGUUCGGAAUAACUCCCCGAAAGGGGUGCUAAUACCGGAUAAUGUCUUCGGACCAAAGAUUUAUCGCCUUUGGAUGGGCCCGCGUUGGAUUAGCUAGUUGGUAGGGUAAAAGCCUACCAAGGCGACGAUCCAUAGCUGGUCUGAGAGGAAGAUCAGCCACACUGGGUCUGAGACACGGCCCAGACUCCUACGGGAGGCAGCAGUGGGGAAUAUUGGACAAUGGGCGAAAGCCUGAUCCAGCAAUGCCGCGUGAGUGAUGAAGGCCUUAGGGUUGUAAAGCUCUUUUACCCGGGAUGAUAAUGACAGUACCGGGAGAAUAAGCUCCGGCUAACUCCGUG